CGAAACUACGAGUCUUAUCAUUUCAAAAUUCCGGUUUGAACAAAACCGUUUCCGGAUGAUGUGUCAACGUGUCAACGUCAAGGUACCUAUAACAGUUAAAGGAAUAUACACUUUAUAAUAUAAUAUUAUUAUUACGUUAACGAGUGUGUGAAAAUCGAAUCAGACUCAGAGUUCAUACGCCGCAAAUAUUCACUUAGCAUCGCGUGUGUAUCGUGCGAUCCGUUCCAAACGGCACAACGUUUUACGCACGUAAACUGCUACAAGAACAUCACGUCUUACCGGUGGAAGUGAUGGUCGUCGUUUUUAUCAGUUACAGUGCAACAAUUCCGACUACAGUCUGCAAUAGUGUAUUACAUAGAUUAAUUGACUACUGAAGAUAAUUUCUAAGGAUGACAUUGUUAAAUAUGGAAUAAUAACAACUGAUAAAACUAAAUAAGAUGAUCUUUUUUAAUUAGUGUAAUUUUGGCACAACCUAUUAUAGUGGGCAGUAUGGAAAUAAACGUGAAAUAGACUUAAACGGUGGGUGAUGAAGUUAAACAUGUAUAAUAAUACAUACUACAAUGCAAUAAUAUCAAUAAUUCGUAUGU